rnacentral:pre_miRNA from 1 species
GCACUAUGGGCCUGAUCCAAAGCCUCUUUAGGUCAAUAGAAACCUUUCCAUUGGCUUCAAUGGGCUUUGGAUCAGAUUCUAGAAGC